GGCUGUGGGUCAGCGGUAGAGCAUUCGUCUCGCAUGUGUGAGGCCCUGGGUUCGAUCCUCAGCACCA
rnacentral:tRNA from 1 species